rnacentral:rRNA from 1 species
CAGCCGCCACGGUAAUACGUAGGUGGCAAGCGUUGUCCGGAAUUAUUGGGCGUAAAGGGCUCGCAGGCGGUUUCUUAAGUCUGAUGUGAAAGCCCCCGGCUCAACCGGGGAAGGUCAUUGGAACCUGGGAAACUUGAGUGCAGAGGAGGAGAGUGGAAUUCCACGUGUAGCGGUGAAAUGCGUAGAGAUGUGGAGGAACACCAGUGGCGAAGGCGACUCUCUGGUCUGUAACUGACGCUGAGGAGCGAAAGCGUGGGGAGCGAACAGGAUUAGAUACCCCCGUAGUCCCUGUCUCUUAUAA